rnacentral:rRNA from 1 species
GAUGAACGCUGGCGGCGCGCCUAAUACAUGCAAGUCGAGCGAACGGACGAGAAGCUUGCUUUUCUGAUGUUAGCGGCGGACGGGUGAGUAACACGUGGAUAACCUACCUAUAAGACUGGGAUAACUUCGGGAAACCGGAGCUAAUAUCGGAUAAUAUUUUGAACCGCAUGGUUCAAAAGUGAAAGACGGUCUUGCUGUCACUUAUAGAUGGAUCCGCGCUGCAUUAGCUAGUUGGUAAGGUAACGGCUUACCAAGGCAACGAUGCAUAGCCGACCUGAGAGGGUGAUCGGCCACACUGGAACUGAGACACGGUCCAGACUCCUACGGGAGGCAGCAGUAGGGAAUCUUCCGCAAUGGGCGAAAGCCUGACGGAGCAACGCCGCGUGAGUGAUGAAGGUCUUCGGAUCGUAAAACUCUGUUAUUAGGGAAGAACAUAUGUGUAAGUAACUGUGCACAUCUUGACGGUACCUAAUCAGAAAGCCACGGCUAACUACGUG